rnacentral:tRNA from 1 species
GGGCCUAUAGCUCAGCUGGUUAGAGCGCACGCCUGAUAAGCGUGAGGUCGAUGGU